GACGAACCGUGCGAACGUUAUUCGGAAUCAUUGGGCUUAAAGGGCGCGUAGGCGGCGGUGUAAGUUGGAAGUGAAAUCCCAUCGGCUCAACCGUGGAAUUGUUCCCAGUACUGCAUCGCUCGAGGGGGAUAGGGGUUUGCGGAACUACCGGUGGAGCGGUGAAAUGUGUUGAUAUCGGUGGGAACGCCAGUGGCGAAAGCGGCAAACUUGACCCUUCCUGACGCUGAGGCGCGAAAGCUAGGGGAGCAAACGGG
rnacentral:rRNA from 1 species